UACCUCAAAAAACCACAACAGUCUGUUUCAUCCGUAUAGGAAUCAUCAGGUGGUCCUGAUGAUUCCUAUACGGAUGAAACAGACUGUUGUGGUUUUU